AGUCGAGCGGCAGCGGGAAGUAGCUUGCUACUUUGCCGGCGAGCGGCGUACGGGUGAGUAAUGUCUGGGGAUCUGCCCGAUGGAGGGGGAUAACUACUGGAAACGGUAGCUAAUACCGCAUAACGUCGCAAGACCAAAGUGGGGGACCUUCGGGCCUCACACCAUCGGAUGAACCCAGAUGGGAUUAGCUAGUAGGUGGGGUAACGGCUCACCUAGGCGACGAUCCCUAGCUGGUCUGAGAGGAUGACCAGCCACACUGGAACUGAGACACGGUCCAGACUCCUACGGGAGGCAGCAGUGGGGAAUAUUGCACAAUGGGCGCAAGCCUGAUGCAGCCAUGCCGCGUGUAUGAAGAAGGCCUUCGGGUUGUAAAGUACUUUCAGCGGGGAGGAAGGGAUGGAGCUUAAUACGCUCUGUCAUUGACGUUACCCGCAGAAGAAGCACCGGCUAACUCCGUGCCAGCAGCCGCGGUAAUACGGAGGGUGCAAGCGUUAAUCGGAAUUACUGGGCGUAAAGCGCACGCAGGCGGUCUGUUAAGUCAGAUGUGAAAUCCCCGGGCUCAACCUGGGAACUGCAUUUGAAACUGGCAGGCUAGAGUCUUGUAGAGGGGGGUAGAAUUCCAGGUGUAGCGGUGAAAUGCGUAGAGAUCUGGAAGAAUACCGGUGGCGAAGGCGGCCCCCUGGACAAA
rnacentral:rRNA from 1 species